ACAACAUGAGUCAUAGUAUAAAUGUCUAUAUCAUGUAUACAAUAGGUACUUGAGUGUAUAAUGUAGGUAUAGAGACUUGUGUGACAAGCUUUAUGCCAAAGGGCAACAAGCAUGGCAAGCUGUGAUCAUUGCAGCCACCAUGUGGAGCUGCAGCCCUCAAUCAACCAAGAGAGAUUGUUAUCAUUUUGAGUUUCUCUUAGAGUAUUCACACUAGGUUUGUAUUUCUAUAUAAACCCUCCAUUGUGAGAUGAAUAAACACACAUGAAUCAGUCAUUACUCUCUCCUCUCUCUCUGUUAUUUUGUUCUUGUCCUAAAACAAGAACUAUAUUGAAACAGAAUAAGUGGUUAUGUGGGGAUUGAUGUGUUUUUUUCUUUUUCUUUUUCUUACCUAAUUUUAUCAAGCGUAUGUGAUUAGUGGGAAACUACCACACUUUCUAACUUAUGAAAUUGUGAUGUUUUUCCGUAAAAUUAAAAAGUCAUGUGUGUCUCUUUCAUUACAGAAAGUUGACAAAUAGAAGAAAUUAAAGAGGGAGAAUUUGUAUUUUCGAAUUCACACACAUACGAAAGCAACUGGUUGGAAUCUAUAAGCAAACCAUGCCAUGUAAAGCAAAGCUUUCCCGCCUGAUCAACUACUCUGAUUUUGUUCUGUCUCCUAAGUUUCCUUAAUCAGAGUAGUAGUUUCCUUUUUUUUUUGAGAAAAAGCUCUGAUUUUGUUCUGAUCAACUACUCUCCCUCUAAAGUCUCAAACCCAGUUACAAUGUAAAAAAAUAGAAGAAUUAAAAUCUGGGUUCUUUGCAUUUCCUCAGUAGCUACAUGGUGAAAAGGCCAUCAAGUUUCAUCUUUAAAACGUGAACUUUUACUAGAUUAAUGUAUUGUUGAUUCCACAGGGUACAGAGCAAUACGCAAGGAUGAAGAUUGCUUAAAUGUAUCGACUAUCGAGAAGGUAGACAUGCCAUGUUGACGGUGCGGGGGCCGAAUGAAAAUAUGCCACGUGAAAUUUACUAUCCCAAAAUACCCUUAAGUCAUGGCCAAUAUAAUACAGCGGUUUACUUGAAACUUACAACAGCACGCGUAUUCGUAGAUAUCAAGGAGUCCAGCCACAACUCUAUGUGCCUUCUUUCACAUUGAAUUUCACUGCUCCAUCUCUAUCACCCUGCAUUCAUAUUGCAGCUACCGGAAUUGCUUAAUCCAAUGUCGCUUUAACACUCUUGCUGGAGCAGGGAUCGGAAAAAGAGCCAAGCUGUACUGUACAAGGAUGGGGAACAUAGCAAUUAGGGCAUAUGUUCUCUCUUCAAGACUAACUACAACAAGCUCGUAACUCUAUU